rnacentral:lncRNA from 1 species
AAUCCUUACCUGAUUAGUAGUGAAAUCGAGAUCAAAUCUUUAAAAAUCUAAAACAAACCUUCACGGAGGCCCAGAUGUGCAGACCAUCUACUUUGCAUGCACGACAUACGCUGCAGAAAAGUAGGAUGAACUCCAAUCAAAUUAUCUUUGCAAUCCAAUCAAACGAAGGAGAAGAGGUGCUAGUAUGAUGCCUCACACCAGUAAGGGGACACCCAAGGUGGGCCCAUGGCAAGGAGAGAGAGGACGGCACCAAUGGGAGAUGCCAAGGA